rnacentral:rRNA from 1 species
ACGGGGGGUGCAAGCGUUGUUCGGAAUUAUUGGGCGUAAAGAGCGUGUAGGCGGCUGAAUAAGUCAGAUGUGAAAUCCCUGGGCUUAACCAAGGAAGUGCAUUUGAAACUAUUCAGCUUGAGUAGGGGAGAGGAAAGUGGAAUUCCUGGUGUAGGGGUUAAAUUCGUAGAUAUCAGGAGGAACACCGGUGGCGAAGGCGACUUACUGGCUCUAUACUGACUCUGAGCCGCGAGAGCGUGGGGAGCAAACAG